rnacentral:rRNA from 1 species
CAGCAGCCGCGGUAAUACGUAGGGGGCGAGCGUUGUCCGGAAUUACUGGGCGUAAAGAGUUMGUAGGCGGUCUGAUAAGUCAGAUGUGAAAGGCGUAGGCUUAACCUAUGUAAGCAUAUGAAACUGUCAGACUUGAGGUAAGGAGAGGAAAGUGGAAUUCCUAGUGUAGCGGUGAAAUGCGUAGAUAUUAGGAGGAAUACCAGUGGCGAAGGCGACUUUCUGGACUUAAACUGACGCUGAGGAACGAAAGCGUGGGGAGCAAACAGGAUUAGAUACCCUGGUAGUCCACGCCGUAAACGAUGAGUGCUAGGUGUCGGGUAGAAAUAUUCGGUGCCGCAGCUAACGCAAUAAGCACUCCGCCUGGGGAGUACGUACGCAAGUAUGAAACUCAAAGGAAUUGAC